rnacentral:rRNA from 1 species
GACGAACGCUGGCGGCGUGCCUAAUACAUGCAAGUCGAACGCAGUGGGGACGGGUGAGUAACACGUGGGUAACCUCCCAUCAGAGGGGAUAACACUUGGAUACAGGUGCUAAACCGAUACUGAUGGAUGGACCCGCGGUGCCUUAGUUAGUUGGGGAGGUAACGGCUCACCAAGGCUACGAUGAAUAGCCGGCCGUAGAGGGUGAUCUGCCACAAUGGGACUGAGACACGGCCCAGACUCCUACGGGAGGCAGCAGUAGGAAAUCUUCGGCAAUGUACGAAAUUCUGACCGAGCAACGCCGCGUGAGUGAAGAAGGUUUUCGGAUCGUAAAACUCUGUUGUUAGAGAAGCGGUAUCUAACCAGAAAGCCACGGCUAACUACGUGCCAGCCGCCGCGGUAAUAC